rnacentral:sRNA from 1 species
UAUUAAAAAUUAAUGGUGGUGUACGGUUCUACGUUCAGCAGCUAGCGCGUCUCGCAGUUUCUCGCCAGAGUGAAUUUCAAUUUUCAAUUCCAGAAAAUACAUCUCAGAAGGGAGGCCAAGCGAAUUUCGGAAAUAACGACGGCCGAGCACCAGAAAGUAAUACAUCCAAUCAUCCGUAAAUGCAUCAGCUAAGCAACAGUAUUUUUGCUCAACAAUUGGACAGAAAACACAAGGAAUAAUACAGUAGAAGCCGUGAUUAUUGGUUGCAUUUUUGGAGGGAGAACACAGCGAGCUUAAGCCAACAACGUAGUGCGAACAGUGCAACAGAAAACCACCUAAUUUUGAUCUAGAGAACUAUAAACCACAAGCAGAGUAGCCAAAACCCCCACAUAUGUAGUGCAAGUGUCGAUCAUCUAUGAUUGAUACCUAAAUAUAGAGAGAUAGAGAGUUAUAUUUACAAACAAACACCACCUAGACGACAGGUGACCCCCCAAAAAGACAAGCCAGAAACAGGAACAGACACUGCUGAGGCACUGACCGCGCUACACGGUCACAUCCAGAUACAUCUUCAUCUGCACGGAGCCACUAAAGCCAGCAAAAUAGAUACCAUGGAGGACAAUAACACGAGCAGCAGUGCGGGCGGUGCGUCCAUCAAACAGGAGGAUCCAUCUGUGACACUCACAAUAAGGCUGAUUAUGCAAGGGAAGGAAGUUGGUAGUAUUAUUGGUAAAAAGGGUGAAAUUGUGCACAGAUUUCGUGAAGAG